UGCAUCUGAAGCCUGACGAGGAUGAGAACCUCCGGGGGCAAGAGGUUCGACUCGAGCGCAGCGAGAGAACGUUGCGUCAGCAACGGCCCGCAGGGC
rnacentral:sRNA from 3 species